rnacentral:sRNA from 21 species
UGUGCCGGGACUACGCCGGGUGAGAGCGGCGUGUGCCGCCCUGUGAAUCCGGCGGGGUGCCU